rnacentral:rRNA from 1 species
GACGAACGCUGGCGGCGUGCUUAACACAUGCAAGUCGAACGGAAAGGCCCUGCUUUUGUGGGGUGCUCGAGUGGCGAACGGGUGAGUAACACGUGAGUAACCUGCCCUUGACUUUGGGAUAACUUCAGGAAACUGGGGCUAAUACCGGAUAGGAGCUCCUGCUGCAUGGUGGGGGUUGGAAAGUUUCGGCGGUUGGGGAUGGACUCGCGGCUUACCAGCUUGUUGGUGGGGUAGUGGCUUACCAAGGCUUUGACGGGUAGCCGGCCUGAGAGGGUGACCGGCCACAUUGGGACUGCGGUACGGCCCAGACUCCUACGGGAGGCAGCAGUGGGGAAUAUUGCACAAUGGGUGGAAGCCUGAUGCAGCAACGCCGCGUGCGGGAUGACGGCCUUCGGGUUGUAAACCGCUUUCGCCUGUGACGAAGCGUGAGUGACGGUAAUGGGUAAAGAAGCACCGGCUAACUACGUG